AUUGAACGCUGGCGGCAGGCCUAACACAUGCAAGUCGAGCGGAUGAAGGGAGCUUGCUCCUGGAUUCAGCGGCGGACGGGUGAGUAAUGCCUAGGAAUCUGCCUGGUAGUGGGGGAUAACGUCCGGAAACGGGCGCUAAUACCGCAUACGUCCUGAGGGAGAAAGUGGGGGAUCUUCGGACCUCACGCUAUCAGAUGAGCCUAGGUCGGAUUAUCUAGUUGGUGGGGUAAAGGCCUACCAAGGCGACGAUCCGUAACUGGUCUGAGAGGAUGAUCAGUCACACUGGAACUGAGACACGGUCCAGACUCCUACGGGAGGCAGCAGUGGGGAAUAUUGGACAAAGGGCGAAAGCCUGAUCCAGCCAUGCCGCGUGUGUGAAGAAGGUCUUCGGAUUGUAAAGCACUUUAAGUUGGGAGGAAGGGCAGUAAGUUAAUACCUUGCUGUUUUGACGUUACCAACAGAAUAAGCACCGGCUAACUUCGUG
rnacentral:rRNA from 1 species